rnacentral:snRNA from 1 species
CUGCUUACUUCAGCAGCACAUACCCUAAAAUUUGAAUGAUACAGAGAAGAUUAGCAUGACCCCUAUACAAGGAUGACAUGCAAAUUCAUGAAGCGACAAAUAAAUAU